rnacentral:lncRNA from 1 species
GAGAAGUCAGGCCAGAUUAAGCCAUAGUUCGGAAAGAGCUAUG